rnacentral:rRNA from 1 species
CUUUCUUUGCUGGCGACCGGCGCACGGGUGAGUAACACGUAUCCAACCUACCCUUUACUCGGGGAUAGCCUUUCGAAAGAAAGAUUAAUACCAGAUAGCAUAAUGAUUCCGCAUGGUUUCAUUAUUAAAGGAUUCCGGUAAAGGAUGGGGAUGCGUUCCAUUAGGUUGUUGGUGGGGUAACGGCCCACCAAGCCUUCGAUGGAUAGGGGUUCUGAGAGGAAGGUCCCCCACAUUGGAACUGAGACACGGUCCAAACUCCUACGGGAGGCAGCAUG